rnacentral:lncRNA from 1 species
AAUACUGACAACAGUUUUGAUAGGAAGUUUCAGCAUGGCUAUGAUAUGGAGCAGAGAUGUGAAAACUGGCAAGAGGAUAACCAUGUCGUCAUUGAUUUACACAUUGCUCUCUCUAAGAAAACCCAUCCAAAUGUAGAAGACAUAUAAGCUUUGGAGGGGGAAAAGAAAAUAUCUCAGUUCGCAGUUGCUCAGAAAAGACCUGUUAGUACUUGGCAGCUAAAUUCCCUACAGAGUCUGGGCAACAAAUGUGCCCAUCCAUGCUGUGCCCCACCCAGGCUCUGCACCAGCCCCCACUGGCAAGCAUGUGAUUCCUGACACUUCCACAAGCAUGACCAAUUCACCUGAAUUUUCCUUGCACCACUACAACUUUUCUGGGACACAAAUGCACGGGAGCCAAAUAACAACAGUCUUUUAAUGACAGUAAGGCAAAAUACAGGAACUGGGACAUUUCUAACAGGUUCUCUACCAGCUUCUGGUACCAGACCCUCAUGUGGAGUGAAGCUACAAAGCCUAUGGAAAUACAUGAGGUGAUUUUAUUCUGCUUAGAAAAAAAGGCAAAGUGAAAGGCAUCUCCUCCCUACCCAAAGGAGCAAGUCAGGGAGUGAAGCCUGUGGGUGAAGAUCAAGACUGAGGGAAAAAGGGAGGUCCCUAGAUGAAUCAUGAGAAUCCCUUUUAAAACACACUCAGCUAUGGACAAGAGCAGAAAACUGCAGCAGCUCCAACUUCCACCCGUUGCCUCUCAAAGCCCAGUGGCACUUCCUGAGAGCUUGGGGCCUUCACUUCCGGAGAACAAACCAGAACUGUUUCCACUGUGAACUUUUCUACUUUAAGAUUAGAAUGAAAAGUAGAUAAUUGCAGAGUUGCCUUUUAACAUUAUCUAUGACCAUGUGCAGUGUCAUUAGUAGCCAAGGUUGCUAAUCUUAUGCAGUAAUUCUGUGCUUCCUUUGAAGAAACAACCUAGAGCAC